rnacentral:rRNA from 1 species
UUGCACGCUGGCGGCAGGCCUAACCCAUGCCCGUCGAACGGUAACAGGAAGAAGCUUGCUUCUUUGCUGACGCGUGGCGGACGGGUGAGUAAUGUCUGGGAAACUGCCUGAUGGAGGGGGAUAACUACUGGAAACGGUAGCUAAUACCGCAUAAUGUCGCAAGACCAAAGAGGGGGACCUUCGGGCCUCUUGCCAUCGGAUGUGCCCAGAUGGGAUUAGCUAGUAGGUGGGGUAACGGCUCACCUAGGCGACGAUCCCUAGCUGGUCUGAGAGGAUGACCAGCCACACUGGAACUGAGACACGGUCCAGACUCCUACGGGAGGCAGCAGUGGGGAAUAUUGCACAAUGGGCGCAAGCCUGAUGCAGCUAUGCCGCGUGUAUGAAGAAGGCCUUCGGGUUGUAAAGUACUUUCAGCGGGGAGGAAGGGAGUAAAGUUAAUACCUUUGCUCAUUGACGUUACCCGCAGAAGAAGCACCGGCUAACUCCGUG